rnacentral:tRNA from 1 species
GACUUAAUACUUUAAUUUAAAAGAUUUGAUUUGCAUUUAAAAAAUAAGUUU